rnacentral:lncRNA from 1 species
AAAAAAAAAUGGUUUGAUGGGCCGGCCCGAAGAAGCCGGGCCCAUCUAUCAAAUACGAUCGUGCCCUAGGCACGAUCGUGGAAGGGGAAACGCAGAGAGAGGGGUGAAGGGGGUGGGGCGGCGGCGUGAGGGGAGGUCGGUCGUCGGGGGAGGCGACUCGCCGGAGGGGAUCGAGCGCCGGAGAGGGAGAUCCAGCCGGCCGCCGAGGGGGGGAAAGCCUUCCUCUUUCCUUCGGUGAAGACCCUCCAUUUCUCCGCCGAUUCCUCGCCGGAAAGGCCGCCGGAGCACCCAUCGGACCGAGGUAAGCGUGGAUCCUUUCUUUGCGCUUCAUUUCCUAGACUUAGGGCGGUGAUGGUGGGGAUUUGACCGACGAGACCGUCGGAGAAGGAUCCGAAACAGGGUACCCCUGUUUCGGCUUUUCUCCUUCGGAUUUCGUCGCCGCCGGCCGCCGGUUGGCCGGGAUCCAUGGCAUUGGGGGUUGAUCGAGUUUGUGGGAGGAUUUGGGAGGGAUUGCAGGUUGCUUGGAGAUGGGGGAUGGCGGAUCCGAGGCCUUCUUCCUCGGGAAGAGUCAGCGGUGCCAGGAGGUUUUGAUCAGGGGACUCAGCACCCCAGCUCGUAGGUUGUGAUCCAGAUCUGUAUUUGAGUCUGUCUACAAUUUCGGUAAGGAUCCUUGUACGCC